rnacentral:misc_RNA from 1 species
UUCGCGAUGCACCCAAUUAAAUUAUGCCUUUUAUAAAUUUUAAAAAUAUUUUAAACGUGUAAUUGAUGUUUUUCUUUUUAUCAUUUCAAGAUGGCGACUUCCAUGGAUUUGUUUGAUUUUCAUUUAUUCCUAUCAAAACAUUGGAUAUAACUGUUUUAAACAAUUAAAGGAAGAUGUUAUUAUCUUGGACUUAUAUUUUAAGCAGGUGAAAUGGAAUGCAGAACUUGAGUUUUACAAAGGCAAAAUGAUCUAAUCAACAAUGACAACAAAUCUGCAUUUUCCAAAAUCUCCAUCAUUCUCCAAGUUACAGUGGAGAUGCUUGUUAACAAAGAAUGUCUCAGCAAAUCUUUCUCCACACAGCGGCAUAUAAACUUAGGUAAAAAUUGUUUGUCGGCGUGAAACAAGGAUGGUAGUUCACGAACAACCCACUUUUAAACAUUCUCUAUGUCACUGGAUUGCUGCUAUUAGGCUUUCUAGACUGAUAGCUUUGCUAUUGUUAGUUCUUGUGAUGGUUCCUUUAUUCACUCAUUACUAUCUUUCAAAGUUUGUGGGAGAUAACUCCACUUCAGAAAUUCAUCACAAAGGUAUACAAUUGGAUAGUCUGAUAUCUGUCAAGUCGACUGAUUUAAAAGUCAGAAUUGAAGAGAUGUUAAGGAUUAAAACCUCUGUCAGUAAUGAGCUGAGAGAUCUGGAGAGUCGAAGACAAAAGUUACAAACAGAAAUUGCAGUGUUGAGCCAACGUGUUGAAGAUUUAAAGGCAGAAUACAGUCACCAGCAAAUAGAAUUGGAAAGGUUAAGACUCUCUGUAGAACAAGCACAGUAUGCACAAAAGGAGAUGCUUGAGAAAAACACUCCCCAAAUAUCUGCACCCAGGAGAAUACUUCCGUCUGCUGCUGAUGUGAAGUUCAUCCCUCUCCCGUCUACUUCACUUGUUAAAAAUUGUAGAAUGCAUCUAUGCUUCGAUUUUUCUAGGUGUUCUGUUCUGUCAGAAUUUCCUGUGUACUUUUACCAUCCAGAUGAUUACAGACUUUCUUGGAACCAGUUGGAUCGUUUUGUUAAAAUUUCUGUGACAGAAGCUUUAAAUAUGAAUGUGCACAUAACAUUUGAUCCUACCAUAGCCUGUGUGUAUGUUGUAUUAGUGGGCGAAGUGCAACGCGGGGACCAGUCUAAGUCUGCAUUAGAGAACUACCUCAAAAAUCUUGCACAUUGGAAUGGUGAUGGUAGAAAUCACAUUUUACUGAAUUUAGCUAGGAACACGAAUGUAACAGAUGUGUUUUCCGGAGUCAACACUGGCCGUGCCAUACUUGUACAGUCACACUUUUCUGCCACUCAGUUCCGAGACGGGUUUGACAUUAUUUCCCCUCCUUUGAUUGGACCAGUGAAAGGAGAAGUCUGGGAAAAACUACUGCCUCAUUGUCCAAUUAGAAGAACUUACCUUUUAUCGUAUCAAGGAUUAUAUAGGACUAGACAGCACAAUAGCAUCACCCAAAGUAGAAAGUUGUUACAUAGUCAUGUCAAUCAAACAUUACCGGCUAGGAAGCUUUUUCAGGAUGAUGACGAUGAUGAUAUUGACUCCGGGGAUGAUUUUAUUAUUGAAUCAUUGAAAAGUAUGCAGUCUGGAUCAACUGAUGAUAAAUUUAAUUUUCAGUUUUCCUGUGUUGAUCAGAGUGUUUUCAAUACAGAAUGGUCUCUCUGUGAUAAUUCUGACUCUAGAGCAUCACUGCUGUCACAGUCAACAUUUGUCCUUAUUGUUGCAUCUACAGAUUAUCAGUUAAUAAGCACUAUUGAUUUGCAGUGGAGGUUGUUUGAGUCUCUCAAAUCUGGUGCCAUCCCAGUUAUAUUGGGUAAUCACGUUCAUCUCCCAUUCCAUGAGGUUGUAGAUUGGAACAAGUGUGCCAUGAUCUUACCAAAGGCUAGAGUAACAGAACUUCAUUAUAUUUUACGCACUAUUUCAGACUCUGACAUACUGGCCAUGAGAAGACAGGGAAGGCUCCUCUGGGAACGUUACAUGUCUACAACACAACAGAUAAUAAAUACAGUUUUAGCCAUAGCUCGCCAAAGAAUACAAAUACCUCCAAGUGCAGCACAGGAGGAGCCUUCACCGAGUGUUUUUAAUGCAACAUUCCAGCCACUGAAAUUAGAUGUGGCAGCCGUACAGGACUCUGAACCAGAAGAAAAUCUCGGCCCAUUAGAACCACCUCUACCCACCCCAAAAUUUUAUAGAAAUAUAACAUUCACAACAACUCAGCAAUACGAAAUAUGGAAUGAUUUAAUUGAUCCAUUCACCCUUUAUCCUUACACUCCUUUUGAUCCAAUACUCUCUUCAGAAGCUAAAUUCUUAGGAUCCGGGUUUGGAUUUCGUCCGAUCGGUCAGGGUGCAGGAGGAUCGGGAAAGGAAUUUAGCGAGGCACUCGGAGGAAACAUACCACGAGAACAAUUUACAGUUGUGAUGCUGACUUAUGAAAGAGAAGCGGUUCUGAUAGAUUCUCUUCAAAGAUUGCGAGGUCUGCCCUUUCUAAAUAAAGUGGUUGUGGUGUGGAAUAGUCCAAGACCACCAGCGUCUGACCUCCGCUGGCCGGAAAUCGGAGUACCCAUCCAUGUGAUUAAAGCAAAGAAAAACAGCUUAAAUAACAGAUUUCUUCCCUACGAUACCAUUGAGACCGAAGCAAUUUUAUCAAUGGAUGACGAUGCCCAUCUGCGCCACGAUGAGAUAAUAUUUGGAUUCAGGGUUUGGAGAGAAUCCAGAGAUAGGAUAGUGGGUUUUCCCGGGAGGUAUCAUGCAUGGGAUUCUCAGCACGAGAGCUGGUUAUACAAUUCCAAUUACUCUUGUGAACUUUCUAUGGUCCUUACUGGAGCCGCAUUUUUUCACAAGUACUAUUCAUACCUCUAUAGCCAUUGGAUGGCUCAAGCCAUUAGAGACAAAGUGGACGAAUAUAUGAACUGUGAGGAUAUAGCCAUGAACUUUCUUGUUUCACAUGUUACUAGAAAACCACCAAUUAAGGUGACGUCUAGGUGGACGUUUCGCUGUCCAGGUUGUCCCAUUUCCUUAUCUGAAGAAGACUCUCACUUCCAGGAGCGACACAAGUGUAUCAAUUUCUUCAUCAAGGUGUAUGGAUACAUGCCCCUGCUGAACACCCAGUUUCGUGUGGAUUCGGUGCUCUUCAAGACUAGAAUUCCCCACGACAAGCAGAAAUGCUUCAAGUUCAUCUGAGACCCCCUUUUUUCUCUCCAGGACGUAAAGCAAUAAUCAUCUCGGCAGACAUUUUUAUUUAUUCCUUCCUUGUAAAUAAUUUUGUCCCUUUCGGGGAAGGGGCGCGACCCCGACGCUCUUCUUUGCAAUGUAAUUAUUGACAAAUGCUGAAAUUUUUUGUAAAUAAAGCAGAGAAUGUGUGUGACCUCAUUCUUGCGUCACAGUUAGAUAAAUAGACGGACACGUUCGCUGUUUGCUAUUUUUAGCCACGCGAGCGCACGGCCUGAUUCAGUUUUCGUCACACAGUCGCGUGCUUGAUGUUCCCGCGCCCCAUCCAUCGCUGUGAAUGAACCCAGGUGAGGAAAAGAUGUGCGUGGCGUGAGACAACGAUUCGCACACUGGGCCCUACUUAGCACACGCAACAAAAUGGAAGACGUAAGUAUGUAAAAGUAGGCCCUUUUUAUGAUCGCACGCUAGGGCCUUCGGCUAGAUUCCAAAAUACUUUACGGUUGAUCCCUUUAGGUAUUUAGAAACAUUUUCGAUUUUCCACGCGCAUUAUAUGGGAACCCUGCUGUUAAAAUUAAUAAGGGGCCUGCCGGUUGUUUAUUAAGAAACGUGACGCUCCAGUGGAUCCAAACCGACAGUCUGUACAAAACAGAUGCCACCCUUUAAUGGAAGGAGAGAGGAAAAGGCCUCAUAACCGUGUCAUUGAGUCUCUAUAAUGUACUACUGUGCUACUUCUUCACUCUAGCAUGCAUCUGGUCAAUGCUACCGCAAAAACAAAAACAAUAGUAUCGGUGUUUCAUAAGAUCAUCCUGAAGCUCCUCCUAGGAGUUUCGUAUCUUUUAGAAAUCAGAAUGGUUCGAUUGUUCUUGCGAUUGCUUCGUUAUUUUCAUACAGCCCUCGUACACUUCAUAGUGAACGUCACCAUAUCUUUUCUGUGGUUAUUGCUUCAGAGAAUAGCUCUUAACUUAAGAGACCGCCUUAUGAAUUUACUUCAAGAAUGGGUCACGUGGUUGAUUAUGUUUAUAUUCAUUUACAUAUUUUACCGCGCGUUCCUGUAACGAAAUCGAAGGCCCGCGAUCAUAGAAAGGCCUUGAAAGUUACAGAACUGGUGAAUUUCUGUAGUUUUUGAAGCCUUUACAUGCGUUACAAGAGGGUAUUUUUGGUUGUGGUUUUGUGCGAGACCCUUGAUAAUGAAAGGAAAUGCGACACAUUGUUUGUCGAGGUCGAUUGUUUAAACUCGUAUCACGUGAAGGGGAAGAUUGGAUAAGCGACACGUGUCGAAAAUUGUUUUUUAUAUCAUGUGACGGAAGGAAAUGGCGAAACUCGAUGGUGACUCCAAAAAUAACGAAGGUCAAGCCCAAAAAAAUCGCACCGCAAGGUCAGGAUCGCGAAAAAACUUACGUAACUUUCACCU